rnacentral:lncRNA from 1 species
CCAGUGGCCUUGAGUGGCCCGGGAUGGAAGACUGUUCGCAACAGAGAACCUGUCGCAUAUUCCAUAACAACUGUCCUGGCAAGACAAGGCAUGUGAGCCCCCAGGGACUUCUGGGCAAUUGGCCCUUCGAUGUACAGGUGGAUCACCCAUGGCGCCAGAUUGAGUGGCCCAGGAUGGAAGACCAUUGGCAUCGGAGACCCAUCACAUAUUCCAUGACUCCCAGCCUGGAAAGUCGAGGCCUACGAGCCGCCACGGGCCACUGGACACGCGGCCCUUGGUGGUACAGGUGGAACACCAAUGGCUGUGCAUUUGGAGCGAAGGACAACAGUGGCAGAUUUAUGGACCAUCCAACAGUUUUCCUCUCCCAUAAUCAGUUCCUCUCUGGCGGAAUUCCAGAUCCACAAGUGACAGACAACAUCUGCAAAGGAAGGAUUAUCUGAGUGCAGCCUGCUGCUCCUGGUGCAACUGAUGUCAGCCUUGGUGCCGCAGCUGGGUAGACGGAAACUCAAGUCCUUUACAGCUUCCUUAUUUCCAGAAAGCUUUGGAGACAGACAACACCCCAGAGGAAGGAAGAUCUGAGCGUGGCCUGCUGCCCCUAGGGCAAUCGAUAUCAGCCUUGAUCCAGCCUUUGGUGUGGACAGAAACUCACAUCCUCUGGGGCAUCCUCCUUUCCAGAAAGCAUCAGAAUCAGACAUUCUGGAGAAGGCCUCACUGUAACCUGAACAAUUCAAGACAGACAACGUCCCCAGAGGAAGGAAGAUCUGAGUGUGGCUUGCUGCUCCUGGG